UACGUGAGGGUGCAAGCGUUAAUCGGAAUUACUGGGCGUAAAGCGUGCGCAGGCGGUUAUGGUAAGACAGGUGUGAAAUCCCAGGGCUUAACCUUGGAACUGCAUUUGUGACUGCAUAGCUAGAGUACGGUAGAGGGGGAUGGAAAUUCCGCGUGUAGCAGUGAAAUGCGUAGAUAUGCGGAGGAACACCGAUGGCGAAGGCAAUCCCCUGGACCUGUACUGACGCUCAUGCACGAAAGCGUGGGGAGCAAACAGG
rnacentral:rRNA from 1 species